rnacentral:pre_miRNA from 1 species
UUGGCGUGCAUUGUAGUUGCAUUGCAUAAGACUAUUCGCCCAAUGCGAUGCUGCUGCCAUGCAAGGCCAA